rnacentral:rRNA from 1 species
CAGUCGCCGCGGUAAUACGUAGGGUGCGAGCGUUAAUCGGAAUUACUGGGCGUAAAGCGUGCGCAGGCGGUUCGUUAAGACAGAUGUGAAAUCCCCGGGCUUAACCUGGGAACUGCAUUUGUGACUGGCGAGCUAGAGUAUGGCAGAGGGGGGUAGAAUUCCACGUGUAGCAGUGAAAUGCGUAGAGAUGUGGAGGAAUACCGAUGGCGAAGGCAGCCCCCUGGGCCAAUACUGACGCUCAUGCACGAAAGCGUGGGGAGCAAACAGGAUUAGAUACCCCCGUAGUCCCUGUCUCUUAUAU